AAGAAGAAGAAGAAGAUCAAUCUGACAUUGUAGGUUAAUAGUAGGGAACAAAACACAUUCAUAAUUAGAAGAGAAAAGGACUUUCCUUGUUCAUUCCAGUUUAUAAUAAAAAGCCCCUCGCCAAAGUGUCUUAGAAAAUAAUGCAUUCAGACUGAGUCGAAUUACCGCCUAGCAGAUUCUAUUUAUCUGGAGCUUAAAAGGCAGCUGUGUUUUUGUAAAAAGCAAUGAAUGUGGCAGUCCUACUUAAAGGUAGAAGAAAAAGAACACCCCUUGUUUUGUAAUAAGGGGAUUUUCAAUUUAAAAGAGAGAGCGAGCCUGUUGUGUGAAGUACGGUUAUUACAUUCACUGUAUUCUAUCUCACCCACCAGGAGGCUAAUAAUGAAGGGGCCAGGGAAGGAGGCCAGUGCUACGAGGGUUAUCUCCCAGCCUCAGAUGCUGGAUAAGUCGAAGGAGGCAGACUUGCUUUUGGAUGACAUUCAGAAAGGCCGGAGUGAUUAUUUGGAAGAGAAAAGCCUGCCCUAUUCUUUUCCAAGGUGCGUGAUUAUUCCCCUGGCCCGCCCGUCCACUGAUGAAUUAUUAGCGACCUGCCUUAGACAAAGGAUGUACUGGGAGCCCCACCACACCUAAAGCACGCUUUGAAGGAUCUGCCAAGCUCACUUUUAAUCAUGAGAAAGAAAUUACCCACAUGGAGUCAGCAGAAAAUGAGAAAGUAGAGCUCGUGCUGCGAAUAAUUCCAGCAAGUGCCAAGGGGCUAGUUGAGGAAUGGCUUCAUGAGGUGAAUAUCUUUAGCUUGUACUUAGGGUUCGGUUAGCGUAUAAUCAUUUUCUCUUUUAGGAGCGAUGACUAUCUAAGUGUCUUUCCUAACUAAAGAAUGCUCAGGGCAUUUGUCAGGAUGUUGACAGAUUUAAUAUCAGUGUCAUCCUUGUUGUUAUUUACUAUGACUAAUUUUACAUUUGCAAAUAUGCAAAAAUUAAUUUAGGUGGAAAGGCUCUCUGAGCCAAUGACUGUUGUUAAUAGCUGUAUGUAUUUGUGUGUAUUGAUGUGAGUGCAUGUCUGGUAAUUUCUGUCUCUGUGUACGUAUGUACCCUUGUUCUUGUCUUCUUUCUGUUGUGCACGUAGGUGGGGAGCAUUGGCCAACCAAUGGGUUCUCAGAUGUGGUUUGAGGCUUUCAUUUGAUUUUUGGACCAGGAAAAAAAGAAUGUGUCACAUCAUGAUUAAUGGUCAAUCUGAAUUUUCAAUUCAUAUGAAAGGAGAAGGGGGAGGAGGAUAUGAGCCCAGUGAUGAGACUAACCUUUUCCCUUUGGGAAGAGCAUGAUUCAAAUUAAACAUCACUUUCAGUG